GACGAACGCUGGCGGCGUGCUUAACACAUGCAAGUCGAACGGAAAGGCCCUGCUUGCAGGGUACUCGAGUGGCGAACGGGUGAGUAACACGUGGGUGAUCUGCCCUGCACUUCGGGAUAAGCCUGGGAAACUGGGUCUAAUACCGGAUAGGAGCCAUUUUUAGUGUGAUGGUUGGAAAGUUUUUUCGGUGUAGGAUGAGCUCGCGGCCUAUCAGCUUGUUGGUGGGGUAAUGGCCUACCAAGGCGGCGACGGGUAGCCGGCCUGAGAGGGUGGACGGCCACAUUGGGACUGAGAUACGGCCCAGACUCCUACGGGAGGCAGCAGUGGGGAAUAUUGCACAAGGGGCGCAAGCCUGAUGCGGCGACGCCGCGUGGGGGAUGACGGCCUUCGGGUUGUAAACUCCUUUCGCUAGGGACGAAGCUUUUUGUGACGGUACCUAGAUAAGAAGCACCGGCUAACUACGUG
rnacentral:rRNA from 1 species